GCGCCCGCAGCGGCCUCGCCAUGUCCCAGCCCGGUCAGAAGCCCGCCGCCUCCCCGCGGCCCCGGCGAGCAGCCGCCGCCCGCCGCACCCAUGAGCAUGUCAGUGAAAAAACCAGUGAAUCGCCUUCCAAACCAGGAGAAAAGAAAGGAUCAGAUGAGAAAAAAGCAGCAAGCCUCGGCAGCAGUCAAUCCUCCAGAACCUAUGCUGGUGGAACAGCCUCGGCCACCAAGGUCAGUGAUUUCCUGAACACGAAAAGACCCCUACCGUAUUCUACAGGGAUAUCAUUAGUGGGUGGGGCCUGUAGGAAUGGCAAACAGUGUCCUAAUAUCACUGAAGGUUUUUUAACAAAGUAUCAUUUCUGUGCUAGAAGAGAGAAUAUAAUUUCUUAAUGAUGUGAAUGAUUUAAAACAUAGUAAAACCAUUUAUUGUAUAAAUCUUCUUGGCAUAUAAUAAGCAUUAAAUAAAGAUUAAUUAUUAUGAUGACUAUCUGCAGAUAAUAUUAAACUUUUGAACAUACUGUGAGUAAAAACAUAGUGCUCCCACUUUAGAAAAUAAUUCAUAUCCUCCUCAUGGGCAUUAACCACACCAGGCGUGCUGCUAAGUGCUUUAUGUAAU
rnacentral:sRNA from 1 species